UACGGGGGGGGGUAAGCGUUGUUCGGAAUUACUGGGCGUAAAGGGCUCGUAGGCGGCCAACUAAGUCCGACGUGAAAUCCCCAGGCUUAACCUGGGAACUGCGUCGGAUACUGGUUGGCUUGAAUCCGGGAGAGGGAUGCGGAAUUCCAGGUGUAGCGGUGAAAUGCGUAGAUAUCUGGAGGAACACCGGUGGCGAAGGCGGCAUCCUGGACCGGCAUUGACGCUGAACAGCGAAAGCCAGGGGAGCAAACGGG
rnacentral:rRNA from 1 species